CCCAAAAAGUAGAAGUGUCUCCCCCUGUCGAACUCACUCCCUAACUUAGGGUUGCAACUUUGGUGGCGGUCGGCCGGUUCAAUGCUACGGUUUGACGGCGCGAGUUUGCUGGUAUGGGCGCUGACGAAGGUUCGUUGUUGGGUGGCGCUCUUUCAUUCCCUACUCUUUGUUUGAAGCGUGAGGUUGUCGCCCUAAGGCGGUUUGAAGCGGUUGUUGUUGCGAACGCUGACAGCGGUUCGUUGGUGGUUGGUUUGCGGCUAGGGUUCGUGUUUUGGUCCUUGUGAGUGUUGCGACAGGGGUGGGGGUUGUUGAGGGUUGGCGUGUCGAGGACGUUGUAGUGAAGUGGUGUUGGUUCGGGAUUGGGCCGCGAAUGUUGUUGUCGGAGAUGUCAAGGCGGAGAAGGAGGCAGAGGUUUUUGUGGAGGUCAAGGAAGCAGAGGUACACUAGUGGGGAGAGAGAAUCAAUUGGACCAUGGAGGUUGAGGGAAGGGAGGGAGAGGCCCACCACUCUGUCGUUUGGGGAGCACUCGACGCCAAGCCACGCAUUUACUAUAACAGUCUAAUUGACACACUUCUUUCAAGAGGAAUAAAACCUUUUAUGACAAUAUCACAGAAAAUAUCACAUUAUGAUAUUCCUGAAGAACAUCAGCAAAGAUACAAAGGUUGACUAAGUCCUGAGAUUGAAGUUUAGGUGUCCAGAUAUGGCCAAUCUUACGAGAAAGGUUUGAAUGGAAGAAAACUCAAGGAGGGAGAAUUGGUGUUGCCAUGAAUACCAAAUGGUUUGAACCCAUCAACAAUUCUUUAGAAGACAAGAAAGUUGCGGAACGAGCUCAAUCAUUUUACAUGAAUUGGUCGUAGCUGCAGCAGCAGGGGUGGAUAUCGUGGAAGGGUCGUGGCUUUAGAUCAAAUGGAACAAUCCAAGCAGUUGCAUGAGGCAAACUAGUUGUCUGGCAUAAGUGUAGUGCAGUUGACUUGAUUAGGGAAGCAAAGCCAAAGCCAUGUCUAAUUUUAUGUAUUUAUUUUGUUCAAUUUUCUUCAUUUCUCCCCUUCUUUUUCUCUGGGCCCAAAGAACUGUAGGGCAUUUUCUUCUUACAGUUUUAUGUAGAUGUUUAGCUUUGAGACUUUUGCCACAUAAGACACCCUUUGUUUUAGACCUUGGUCAGUUGUACUGUUGUUUUGGC